rnacentral:misc_RNA from 1 species
GAUGAAGAACGCAGCGAAAUGCGAUAAGUAAUGUGAAUUGCAGAAUUCAGUGAAUCAUCGAAUCUUUGAACGCACAUUGCGCCCGCCAGCAUUCUGGCGGGCAUGCCUGUUCGAGCGUCAUUUCAACCCUCGAGCCCCCCCGGGGGCCUCGGUGUUGGGGGACGGCACACCAGCCGCCCCCGAAAUACAGUGGCGACCCCGCCGCAGCCUCCCCUGCGUAGUAGCACACACCUCGCACCGGAGCGCGGAGGCGGUCACGCCGUAAAACGCCCAACUUUCUUAGAGUUGACCUCGGAUCAGGUAGGAAUACCCGCUGAACUUAAGCAUAUCAAUAAGCGGAGGA